rnacentral:rRNA from 1 species
UACGUAGGGUGCAAGCGUUGUCCGGAAUUAUUGGGCGUAAAGAGCGUGUAGGCGGCCCGAUUAGUCCGCUGUGAAAGUCCAGGGCUCAACCCUGGAAUGCCGGUGGAUACUGUCGGGCUAGAGUCCGGAAUGGGCGAGUGGAAUUCCUGGUGUAGCGGUGAAAUGCGCAGAUAUCAGGAGGAACACCAAUGGCGAAGGCAGCUCGCUGGGACGUGACUGACGCUGAGACGCGAAAGCGUGGGGAGCAAACAGG